rnacentral:rRNA from 1 species
CCUACGGGGGGCAGCAGUGAGGAAUAUUGGUCAAUGGGCGCGAGCCUGAACCAGCCAAGUCGCGUGAGGGAGGACGGCCCUACGGGUUGUAAACCUCUUUUGCCGGGGAGCAACGGGCGUCACGUGUGGCUCCACUGAGAGUACCCGGAGAAAAAGCAUCGGCUAACUCCGUGCCAGCAGCCGCGGUAAUACGGAGGAUGCGAGCGUUAUCCGGAUUUAUUGGGUUUAAGGGGUGCGCAGGCGGAAGAUCAAGUCAGCGGUAAAAUUGAGAGGCUCAACCUCUUCGAGCCGUUGAAACUGGUAUUCUUGAGUGAGCGAGAAGUAUGCGGAAUGCGUGGUGUAGCGGUGAAAAGCAUAGAUAUCACGCAGAACUCCGAUUGCGAAGGCAGCAUACCGGCGCUCAACUGACGCUCAUGCACGAAAGUGUGGGUAUCGAACAGGAUUAGAUACCCUUGUAGUC